UACAGAGGGGGCAAGCGUUGUUCGGAAUUACUGGGCGUAAAGGGCGCGUAGGCGGCCCGCUAAGUCGAACGUGAAAUCCCCGGGCUCAACCCGGGAACUGCGUCCGAUACUGGCAGGCUUGAAUCCGGGAGAGGGAUGCGGAAUUCCAGGUGUAGCGGUGAAAUGCGUAGAUAUCGGGAGGAACACCAGUGGCGAAGGCGGCUGUCUGGGCCAGUUCUGACGCUGAGGCGCGAAAGCGUGGGGAGCAAACAGG
rnacentral:rRNA from 1 species